UGGGGAAUAUUGGACAAUGGGCGCAAGCCUGAUCCAGCCAUGCCGCGUGAGUGAUGAAGGCCCUAGGGUUGUAAAGCUCUUUCACCGGUGAAGAUAAUGACGGUAACCGGAGAAGAAGCCCCGGCUAACUUCGUGCCAGCAGCCGCGGUAAUACGAAGGGGGCUAGCGUUGUUCGGAUUUACUGGGCGUAAAGCGCACGUAGGCGGACUAUUAAGUCAGGUGUGAAAUCCCGGGGCUCAACCCCGGAACUGCCUUUGAUACUGGUAGUCUUGAGUUCGAGAGAGGUGAGUGGAAUUCCGAGUGUAGAGGUGAAAAUCGUAGAUAUUCGGAGGAACACCAGUGGCGAAGGCGGCUCACUGGCUCGAUACUGACGCUGAGGUGCGAAAGCGUGGGGAGCAAACAGG
rnacentral:rRNA from 1 species